AUUCAGCUAACCAGUCCCAAAUCGGGCGAAACACGCGUCAUGGAU
rfam:Schistosoma rodhaini strain Burundi genome assembly, scaffold: SROB_scaffold0004138